UGAAUAUACCGACGGACAGCACAUAGCCAAAUGCUUAUGUCCUCCGCACCUCCUAAAUAAUCGUACGGACCAUAGCAUCCCAGGAAUGUUAUUCCUUUAAUCUUGGCCGUCAAAUCAGAUUACUUUGCCUCUAAGUCGGUGAUUUUCCAUAGUCUGAUUAUCCUCCCCCAUAAAAAGAAUUCUGCUUUGUUCUUGAUCUCUCUCUCGUCUUCCCAGAUUCCAAAUUUCCCUUCACGUUAACCUAAACUAUAUCGAUUAGACGAUCGGGCUUGAAUCUCUAGAGGGUACGUUAAAGAAACCCAAUCAUCAUUCUAUUAAUGUCUAAUUUGUCUUUAGUUAGAUUUCUUUCUUGAAGUUUUCUCGUUCUCUUCUUAUAGGAUCAUUUGAUUUUUUGAAUUGAUUCUAACUGCCUUGCAUUCAUUAGUAUUUGAUCUUUCUUGUAUUUGUUUUGAUUUUCAGUUUAUGUUUAAUCUAGUUUGCUUCUUCAAUUAUUUGGGUUUCGUAGGUUUUGAAUUGUAGGGUUUCUUUGGGUUUUCGUUUGAUUCUCUUCAAAUUUUGUAUUUUGGGUUUAAAUUGCUUCUGGGUUUAAGUAAUUUUAGCAUUUUGAAUUAGGGGAUUUGGUUUUCAGCUCCCUUCAAUUUUUUGCUUAGGUUAACUAUUCUUUUUUAUGGCAUUUGAAUGCCAAGGAAGCACUGAGGUGUCGAAAAAUUACAAUUUUGAGGAUAA
rnacentral:misc_RNA from 1 species